GGACCUGCCCAGUGAUGUAAUACAUUUAACGGCCGCAGUACCCUGACUGUGCAAAGGUAGCAUAAUCAUUUGCCCUAUAAUUAAGGGCUAGUAUGAAUGGUUUGACAAGAACAUGACUGUCUCUUGUGGGAUAAUUAAAAAUUAAAUUUUAGGUGAAGAUGCCUAAAUAUAACUAAAAGACGAGAAGACCCUGUUGAGCUUUAAAAACUCUAAGGAAAUCUAAAAGGUUUUUUUGGUUGGGGCGACCUAAGAACAUAUAAAACUUCUUUUAUUAUUUGAGACAUAUAGUUAUGAUCCAAUAAAAUUGAUUAAUAAAAUAAGCUACCACAGGGAUAAC
rnacentral:rRNA from 1 species